rnacentral:rRNA from 1 species
GACGAACGCUUGCGGCGUGCUUAACACAUGCAAGUCGAACGGAAAGGCCCUGCUUUUGUGGGGUGCUCGAGUGGCAAACGGGUGAGUAACACGUGAGUAACCUGCCCUUGACUUUGGGAUAACUUCAGGAAACUGGGGCUAAUACCGGAUAGGAGCUCCUGCUGCAUGGUGGGGGUUGGAAAGUUUCGGCGGUUGGGGAUGGACUCGCGGCUUAUCAGCUUGUUGGUGGGGUAGUGGCUUACCAAGGCUUUGACGGGUAGCCGGCCUGAGAGGGUGACCGGCCACAUUGGGACUGAGAUACGGCCCAGACUCCUACGGGAGGCAGCAGUGGCGGAAUAUUGCACAAUGGGCGGAAGCCUGAUGCAGCAACGCCGCGUGCGGGAUGACGGCCUUCGGGUUGUAAACCGCUUUCGCCUGUGACGAAGCGUGAGUGACGGUAAUGGGUAAAGAAGCACCGGCUAACUACGUGCCAGCAGCCGCGGUGAUACGUACGGUGCGAGCGUUGUCCGGAUUUAUUGGGCGUAAAGGGCUCGUAGGUGGUUGAUCGCAUCGGAAGUGUAAUCUUGGGGCUUAACCCUGAGCGUGCUUUCGAUACGGGUUGACUUGAGGAAGGUAGGGGAGAAUGGAAUUCCUGGUGGAGCGGUGGAAUGCGCAGAUAUCAGGAGGAACACCAGUGGCGAAGGCGGUUCUCUGGGCCUUUCCUGACGCUGAGGAGCGAAAGCGUGGGGAGCGAACAGGCUUAGAUACCCUGGUAGUCCACGCUGUAAACGGUGGGUACUAGGUGUGGGGUCCAUUCCACGGGUUCCGUGCCGUAGCUAACGCUUUAAGUACCCCGCCUGGGGAGUACGGCCGCAAGGCUAAAACUCAAAGGAAUUGACGGGGCCCCGCACAAGCGGCGGAGCAUGCGGAUUAAUUCGAUGCAACGCGUAGAACCUUACCUGGGUUUGACAUGGAUCGGGAGUGCUCAGAGAUGGGUGUGCCUCUUUUGGGGUCGGUUCACAGGUGGUGCAUGGCUGUCGUCAGCUCGUGUCGUGAGAUGUUGGGUUAAGUCCCGCAACGAGCGCAACCCUUGUUCACUGUUGCCAGCACGUUAUGGUGGGGACUCAGUGGAGACCGCCGGGGUCAACUCGGAGGAAGGUGGGGAUGACGUCAAGUCAUCAUGCCCCUUAUGUCCAGGGCUUCACGCAUGCUACAAUGGCUGGUACAGAGAGUGGCGAGCCUGUGAGGGUGAGCGAAUCUCGGAAAGCCGGUCUCAGUUCGGAUUGGGGUCUGCAACUCGACCUCAUGAAGUCGGAGUCGCUAGUAAUCGCAGAUCAGCAACGCUGCGGUGAAUACGUUCCCGGG